GACGUAGGGCGCGAGCGUUGUCCGGAUUUAUUGGGCGUAAAGAGCUCGUAGGCGGCUUGUUGCGUCGACUGUGAAAACCCGCGGCUUAACUGCGGGCUUGCAGUUGAUACGGGCAGGCUAGAGUUCGGUAGGGGAGACUGGAAUUCCUGGUGUAGCGGUGAAAUGCGCAGAUAUCAGGAGGAACACCGGUGGCGAAGGCGGGUCUCUGGGCCGAUACUGACGCUGAGGAGCGAAAGCUAGGGGAGCAAACAGG
rnacentral:rRNA from 1 species